GAUGAACGCUGGCGGCGUGCCUAAUACAUGCAAGUCGAGCGAACAGACGAGGAGCUUGCUCCUCUAACGUUAGCGGCGGACGGGUGAGUAACACGUGGAUAACCUACCUAUAAGACUGGGAUAACUUCGGGAAACCGGAGCUAAUACCGGAUAAUAUAUUGAACCGCAUGGUUCAAUAGUGAAAGACGGUUUUGCUGUCACUUAUAGAUGGAUCCGCGCAGCAUUAGCUAGUUGGUAAGGUAACAGCUUACCAAGGCAACGAUGCGUAGCCGACCUGAGAGGGGGAUCGGCCACACGGGAACUGGAACACGGUCCAGACUCCUACGGGAGGCAGCAGUAGGGAAUCUUCCGCAAGGGGCGAAAGCCUGACGGAGCAACGCCGCGUGAGUGAUGAAGGUCUUCGGAUCGUAAAACUCUGUUAUUAGGGAAGAACAAAUGUGUAAGUAACUAUGCACGUCUUGACGGUACCAAAUCAGAAAGCCACGGCGAACUACGU
rnacentral:rRNA from 1 species